UACGUGAGGGGCGAACGUUGUUCGGUGUCACUGGGCUUAAAGGGUGCGUAGGUGGCUGUUUAAGUCAGUGGUGAAAUACGGUUGCUCAACAAUCGAGGUGCCAUUGAUACUGAAUAGCUUGAAAUAAUUGGAGGCUGCCGGAAUGGAUGGUGUAGCGGUGAAAUGCAUAGAUAUCACUCCAGAACACCGAUUGCGAAGGCAGGUGGCUACGAUUUAUUUGACACUGAGGCACGAAAGCAUGGGGAGCAAACAGG
rnacentral:rRNA from 1 species